UACGUAGGUGGCAAGCGUUGUCCGGAUUUAUUGGGCGUAAAGCGAGCGCAGGCGGUUCCUUAAGUCUGAUGUGAAAGCCCACGGCUUAACCGUGGAGGGUCAUUGGAAACUGGUCGACUUGAGUGCAGAAGAGGGAAGUGGAAUUCCAUGUGUAGCGGUGAAAUGCGUAGAGAUAUGGAGGAACACCAGUGGCGAAGGCGGCUUCCUGGUCUGUAACUGACACUGAGGCGCGAAAGCGCGGGGAGCAAACAGGAUUAGAUACCCCU
rnacentral:rRNA from 1 species